UACGGAGGAUGCAAGCGUUAUCCGGAAUGAUUGGGCGUAAAGCGUCUGUAGGUGGCUUUUCAAGUCCGCCGUCAAAUCCCAGGGCUCAACCCUGGACAGGCGGUGGAAACUACCAAGCUGGAGUACGGUAGGGGCAGAGGGAAUUUCCGGUGGAGCGGUGAAAUGCUUAGAGAUCAUACAGAACACCGAUUGCGAAGGCAGCUUACCAAACUAUAUCUGACGUUGAGGCACGAAAGCGUGGGUAGCAAACAGG
rnacentral:rRNA from 1 species